GCCUUGCCGGAGUCAUGCUUGAGCAGCCACCAUCAAAACAGCUCGAAGGAGAAGCCACUGCAGCAAUCUAAAAGGCUCAUCCGAUGUGUUCUGGAGUGAGAGAUAAUCGGGUGGUCAAAUCAAAUCAGAUCGGGAUGAAACUUGGUUAUGAGUGUUUUCCCGAGCCAUAUUUGCAAAGGUUUGAUCCGCGAGCAGCUGACUUGUGAAGCAUUUUUCCGGAGAUCUAGAAAGCUUCAGAUGGCGAUCUACAUACCAUCGUGAAGAUAUUUAAUCCAGAUUUCCAGAUCACUCUUCCGAUACCCAUUCCGAGCUGUCACAAGAAAGUUAAGAUCGUUCUUCUAUUGGAUGUCAAAUCUGUCCUAAGGUGAACCAUAUUUGUUAUUCAUCAAGUGGCAAAGAUUGCUUGCUGGUCUUCACGAAGGACGUUUCGCAAAGUGGGACCAUGGCUAGACCAUACACAGAGGAAGUAUGGCCAGUACAAGGGCUGACGGGCCUGUGAGAUUUGUGGCUGACGAGUCACCAGAUUUAAACAGUGUGACGUUCUCGUGAGUGGGAACUUGUGUGCUAGGUUUUUGUGUACUUGUGAAAUAUUUAUGAUUGUUGUUUGUCUAAUCUUAGGUUAAGUAAACAUAUAUAUGAUUAUGUUUAAUUCUUCGUAUAGAUCAAGUGGACAUGUAAGAUCGUCCUCAUUGAGUAUCUUCAAAAUACUCACUCCUCUUUUUCCUUUCAGACAUUGUUUAAAAGAUCAGUUUGGCGUA